rnacentral:lncRNA from 1 species
GUUUUAAGAUAUUAGCAAGAAAUUGGAGAAUUGAAUUAAAAACUAGACUUCUAGAUAAAUAUUUUAUAUUGAAUAAUUGAUAGAAUUGAGUCUAUAAUGAGUGAGAUAUGGCUGGUUAGAACCAUCAAAUUAAAACUAGAAUUUUGAAGAAAUUAGAGAAAUAGAAGGUUUUGGAUUUAAGUUAGAACUUGAGCUUCAAGACAAAUUUGAAGUUCAUUUUUUGUAUACUUGUUACUUAUGAUAAUAAAAGCCUAUGUCUAAAAUUAUAUGUCAAUUGACACUCUGAAUUACGAGAAAUGGUAAAUUUUUUUCUUAGGUAUCUAUAGUUUUGACUUUCAAAAGUACAUGAUAAGGAUUUGGUGAUAUCAAUCGAUUGGCAAUAAAUUUGUAGCUAAAAAUUUGUUUGAUAAAGUUCAAAGUUAUAAGUUUUUUACUCCCAAAUUUUAAGCUUAUUUGAAUGGUUGAAUCUUAGAAUAUAAAUUUUCAAGUUUCUAGUUUGGUUUUGACUUUCAAAAUACCAGCUAAGGAUUUGGUGAUAUCAAUCGAUUGACAACAAAUUUGUAGCUAAAAAUUU